AUUAAAACUGUACAUAGUAAAAAAAAUGUCUUUAAAUACCUAGUAUAAGUUGAAACUAUCAUAGAGUCAUUAGAGAGUUCCACCACAUAUCCAAGCGACGAACAUCAAAAUAACAGACAAAAUGUUUCCGGUGCAAAUAUUGGUUGUUUUAUCAAUGAUGAUUAUUAUUAAUCAAGCAGCAACAUUGAACUACGAUAAUCAAAAAUCAUUGUUACCUACUAUUGACGCUGAUAAAAUUAUGUUAUCUGACAAGACAUAUAAUGCAAAUGGAUAUUAUUCUAAAAUUAUACAUCCAUAUAAUUAUCUUCAAACUAAAAUAGUCGAAAAUUCAAAUCAUAUCCCACUGGGGAUAAAUUAUUGUAAGUGGUGUCCUAGUUGCAUUUGUUGUAAUGGCCAUGUAUUCAUUAGGUAUGGCUAAGAAAUUUCUUUCAGAUCAUGUAAUAGUGUCUUAGUUGUAUAUUAUAUAGUUUUAAUAAAAUAUAUUAUGCAUAAAUUAAA